AGAGUUUAAACAUGUGGGGCUAGGUUUUUUAGACUCCCAUUGUGUAUUCUGUCUCCCGGAGUCAAUGUGACACCAUCCAUGGUGAAGGAUGUCAGUGGACUAGUCAACAUGUAUUGCAUAACAAAAGAUGAAUGGGAUAACUGAGAUGAUGUCAAGUCUCAUUUUGAUAUAUCAAGGGACUUAGCUACAACUAAUAUGAUCGGAGCAAAAGGUUUAAAGGGGAGUUCAUGGCCAGAUUUGGACAUGCUACCAUUUGGAUGGCUAACUGAUGCAGAUACAAAUGGAGGUCCACACAGGUAUAGUAAGUUAAAUCUAGAAGAGAAGAGGAC